UAGGUGCAAAAUCUUCUUCAACAAAUGAAAUCCAAAGGUGAGGAGACUGACGAGCACACUCUAGCAAUGCUCAAGGAAGAGAAAGAAGAACUAGAAUCACCCCUCCACAAUGAGAAAUUGUUGUCUGUCCAGUUAAAGCAAAAACUAGCAUUUGUAGCAGAGGCUUAAAACUCAGACCUGCACAAGAAGCUCCAAUUCGUACGCGGUCAACUUGUCUUGAGCAGUGAAGAUGUUUCAAAUUAGAGAUAUACUAGAAACAAGG